CUGAGCUGAAGUCGGUCACUCAAUUGACUGAGCCACCCAGGCAUCCCAAGAAGUUAACUAUUUUAAAGUAACAGAGAGAUUUCAAUCUUCUGUAGCAUUCCAGGGGAUGCCUUUUAUCCUGCCUACAGAGCAGUGUUAGUGACAUCCUUUGGGGGUGGCCCGGGUAGGGGCGAGAGAGCAAACUCAGCCAUAAACCUCACAGAGGUUUAUGACCCCCUGAACCUUGGCUUCCACCAGCCCCACUGGUGUGGAUUCAAGGACUAGUGGGCAGAGAAGUGGGAACUGUCUUCCCAACUGGCUUUGUAGCCGACUUCUCUCUGAGCCCGAGUCUCCUGCCACAAAAUGGAACACUUGGCUGGAAGGGACUACCAACAGCUUUCAACUCAUGCCCUAAUUCUGAUCUUUUGGUAGAGGCUGCCCAGAGAACUGUGUCCAGAAGGAUUUUGAGGGUUUAGGGGAGGGCGAGAACUGGGACCAAUUAGCAAUGUCUAAGGAAGGAGAGUCGUGGCACCAAUUCCUUGUCAGAUGUUGCCACUCCUGACGUUGAUAUCCAAAGCCUUCUUUGGCUCCAAUCUCACAUGAUUUUAUACUUUUUCUUGACUGUCACCGUUUUCUUUGCCUUCCUCGAGGACCCAUUUCGAGGGCCGUUCCUACUCCCUGGGAAUUGACAGUGGUCUACAGACAGUUGCUUAUAGGGUAGGGUUGGGCCAUGCAAGUUAGGGACAAGCAAGGCCAGAGGAGGCCAGCUCUCCUCCAGCCCCUAGUGGAGUCUUUCUCUGUCUACACCGAACUGGAACCCACGGGGCACGGAGCACAGCCAAUGUGGAUGACCUGUUCCAAGAUUACCCAAUAUGAGACGAAUGUAGAUUUGUGGCCUCUCUCCGCGUGGUUUAGGCAUAGAGGACUAAGAAAGCCAAGCACCAUCCAAAAAAAAGUGAAAAUAAUUUUGAACAAGGACCGCUAAUAAUGGGGAUAGUCUCCCUGUCUGGGAAGCGGAGGGGUUGUCGCAACGGUGCAAUGAGGUAACACGUGCCAAGUGCUGCGCACAGAGCCUGGCACCAGUAAUCAAUACCUGAUAAAAGCGAUCCAGGGUUCAUGGGAUCAUUCCCUAAGGUCACUCUUCGGUGGCGUUGGGCCCAAGGAUAUUAAAUCUAUUCCGAAACCAGCCCUCCCAUCGGCAGGGCGGGAGCCCGCUAUCUCACCGCCGGGGCCCCGCGUUGGCCAGUUCCAAUAACACGAUUAGUCAUUUUUCAUUCCUGAGAUGUCUACCCAUGGGUGGGUGCCUGUGUGCAUGUGUGAGUGCGUAUGUGCCUUUCAGAGCAGGGGAAAAUCCAUAUUCUCUCUCUUCUGACCGAAUUAAUCAAAUAAAUCUUCUGUAAGGAGCUGCUAAAUGAAUCACAGAUGGCUCUGCCCUUUUACAGGUUGCAGAAAGCACCCGUUACACUUCUUUUCAUUUAUCAGAGGAAAAAAGAUGCCCUCGUGUGCCCCUUCCCACUUGCAAUAAUAAUCAGAACCAGUCUAUUUUCCGAGGGUCCGAGACUCAUUUUCCAAAAAUGUGUAUCAAUAGAUGUAACAGCGGGGAGAUUAUUUUGCCAAGUUCCAGCCUCCAGCACAGCAAAGGUGCCCUGGCUGGGGAGAGCGUUUAUAAAACCACAUUUAAUAAAAGAGAGUGUUAUAUUAAGUAUGUUUGCUAGUGUAUUUAAGCAUAUGGUUUCCAUAUCAGGCAUGAAGACGGCAAACACAUGCUUUACCUUCUUUCUAACCUUUCCUGGAGACGUCCUUUCCAGGGGGUGGUGGGACGGGAGGAUUUGGGGGUGGAUGUGCGUGUGUGUUUUGUUUUGCCUUUUACAACUCAGGCGCACAUGGAAAAGCACCGAGGAAUGUUCAGAAAACAUGCGAAGACUCUGACUUUUCUAUUUAUGUAAUUAACCCAAGAAACUUGCUUUGCGCACUUCCUUCAGCGGCCCCAACGUCCUCCCAGCGCCCCGUUGCCUCCUCCAAGGCGCUGGGGGCUGGCUGACUUUAAAGUGUGAAUCAAUUUCAGCUGCAAAGAACUUGAGCUCCUGGGUUUAAACGUGGUAAAGCAAGAGCCCCGGGGAUGGCUGCCCGGCUUCGUGUCCGCGCGUCCCCGUUCGCCGGCGAGCCGCCGGACUCCGCGAUUCGGUCUGCCCAAAGAUCCCCUUUGGGUACUUGGGCUGGGUAUUGGGGAGUCUAUCUUUCUCCUUUACAUCAGAGGCAGCGGGCUGUGGCCUGUGGGCCUGGGGUCCCCAGAAAGGCAGCUGGGAAAAAGGCCUCCGGGGACCACCACCCUAAAACAGACUAAACGAUCCCCUGAUUUGGAGACAACCCCGGAAGCCAAAAUGCCAAGCCAGGAAGGAGAUUGGGUGGGGGCAUCUGCAAGGGGGCCGCCCUGCCCACCCCCGCCAGCCCAAACAGAUUUGCCUGAGCGAGUUAUAAAUCUACUGGUACCAUUUCUUUUUCGUCACUUGCCUAAUCCUGUGCCCUUCGUUUCAUGUGCUGUAAUUAUUAACAUCUGCUUUCUGAGCCUGGGCCGCGUGGAGUUUGCAAAGGCAGUUUUCAGUCUAGAACAAUGGUGACAGCUGUUUCAUUUAGCCUAGGGCCAGCACUUCCUGUUCAGUCUACAUCUGCCCUCCUGUGUCCAAUUUCUGUUUCGGGGUUUUGUGUUUUGUUUUCUGGGUUUCCCCCCCCCCCUUCAUCUGACCUUACUAUACGUUUAAGAAGAAUUUCUAACUUAGCACUCCAGCUAGUAUUUCUAGCACAUAUGCUUAUUAGAUUGGCGAGCCAGAGAAAGAUAGGAGAAAGUCAGGGUUGUCUCCGGCAGCUAGCACGGUGGAGGGCAGAAGCAGAAAGGAGGGCUGACCAGGGGCCCAGGGAACCAGACUCUCAGGAAAUUCCUGGGCCUUAAGGUUGUAGAAUAGGUUGACCUCUCGGGAACUCAAGACCCGGAGAAAAAAAUGGGGUUAGCUUAUCUGUCCCCUGGCCUGGUGUCAUCUCCACAGCUUGUGAGGUAAGGGGUCACCCAAAUAUCCUCCUGAGGGAACUGUGUUUCUGGGUGGCCACCAACACUCGCAGGCCCUUCCCCUUUGGGAACCAUGCAAACUCAUCAGGUGGGCCAAGAUUCAGAGGCCCCGGAUUCACUUUUUCCCCCUGAGUCACCAGCAGCGCAAUAAAAACCCUUUCUCUUUUGCACAGGGAGGUCCGUGGGGUGGGGAAAGGAUGUGGUGUGGAUAAGAGAGUGAAGGAAUCCACUCGGACGGUCUGCCUGGACCCUUUUUAGCAUAUAUGACUCCGUGUGACUAAAGAUUGUGGAGCAUGUGCCCCGCCCCUGGCCUUCCGUCCACCCCGCUUCUCCUAAUUUCGGGUGAUGCAAGCGUGGGGUCCCCAGCUCGGCUGGCAUGCAGAUGCCAGGUUAUUAUUUGAGACCCCACCCAAGCACUGGGCUAGAGAGACAGACGCCAAGAUCUGCGAAAGCUGCCCUCAGGCCCUGCUGGAUACUGAUCGCCAAAUCGCGCAGAAACCAGUCUGUGCGUGGAUAAUAGUUUGCAGGGAUGGGUCCGUGUCCUGUGGGGGCACAGGGCAGGGCCCGGGGGCCAGGGCACCGGUGUCACGCCUUCGACCAGGACUUCCCGAGUCCGCCUGGGCUUCUGCCCAUCUCCGGGCAUCAGGACUGGCAAAGCCCCUGGAGAUCCACUGCCCACGCCCCGUCUUUAUUUUUCUCGAGAGAUGGAGAAACUGAGCGCCAGAGAGGGGGAGCGCCUCCUACAGUUGCAGCUUGGCGGAGCUUGAGUGUAUCAAUAGAGGAACAAAUGAAGGUGACUCUGUGUUGCUUCUGGAAGCUUCUGGAAGCUUCGUCAACAUUUUAUGUAUCUAUCUAUCCAUCUAUUUAUGAGAGAGAAAGAGAGAGCAGGCGAGGGGCAAAGAUAGAGGGAGACAGAAUCCCAAGCAGGCUCCACACUGCCAGUGCAGAGCCCGACGUGGGGCUCGAACCCACAAACCAUGAGACCGUGAACUGAGCCCAAAUCUAGAGCCAGACUCAACCGACUGAGCCACCCAGGCGCCCCCUUUUUUUUUUCCACCAUUUCUAGAUGAAGUGUCUCUUUCAAUCCCAGACCCUCUCUGCCCUUCUAAGUGGCUCACUUGAAAAUAGCUGGGGCCCGACUGCCCCCUGGGAGCAGUGUGCGAGGUCGAGAGCUAGAGAGACCCCAGCUGUGGCUCUCAAUGCCGUAGGCCCACGACAGCUCCGCUGCUUCUGGCUGCCAGCAGAGAUCCGGCCAACUCCAGCAAGUCUGGAAGUCCGUGCUGACUUGACACCCGGGGUCAGGGAGGUUCCUGGCACGCCGUCGAGGGCCCCCAUGUCUUUGCAGGGAUGUCUAAGCGGUGAUACACGGCCAAUGAAUUUAGCAGCAGACCAUCUCCCCAGCAGACCCAGGGAGGGAGUUAUUCUCCCAUUUGUAGAUGAGGACACCGCUGCGAACGGAGCUUGGGAACGUGCUGGAGUCACACUGUAAGCGGCAGGGUCAGAAUCUGAACCCAGGCAGUCGGAAGGCAGAGCUCUGGCCCUCAACCACUGCCUUCCAGAAGAAGACAAGGAACUGUCUGGGAGCUGGAGCUGUUAUGAACACUCCUGGCGACGACACCGAGGACAAAAUGGACACGAAGAUUUGCAGAGCGUGCGGAAGUCCCGUGUGUGACCCCAGAGGAAAUGAAUCUGGGGAGGGAAGGUUUUCAAAGGCACCAGUGACCUGCUCAGAGCAGGAAAGACCUGGGGGGUUAUCACCUCCACUGCUGAGCCCAAGGCAGACCUUCCAGGCCUGUCAGGGUCCCAGCAGAUUAUCCUCAGGCUCCAUGAAGUCGGUCUGUCCCAGACAAGGCGGAGACACACAGGCUCUUAAAAUAUAGAGCCGUGUGCUCACAAUGUUUAUCAAGGCCGAGAUCAGUGCCAUCCAAGGCAGUAGCCACUUGCCACGUGGGGCUAUUAAGCACUUGAAAUGUGGCUAGUCCAAACUACGAUGAGGUGUAAGUACAAAAUCCACACCAGAGUGUGAAAACUUGGAGAGAAAAUCAACCACGAAGUAUCUUGUUAACAUUUGUAUAUUGAUUAGAUAUUUAAAUGAUAAUAUGUUGAAUAUACUGGGUCAAAUGAAACCAAAUAGAAAAAUGAAAAACGGAGCAUAAAUGUACUUUGAUUCACCUGAUCCCUUGACCUUUUUUAUUUAUUUUUUGAGAGAGAGACAGAGCGUGGGCAGGGAGGGGGCAGAGAGAGAGGGAGACACGGAAU